GCCAGAGAGACGCUCACUUUUUUGUGUGUAUCCCAGAAAUGGCCUUUCAAUGCAAUGCAAGAUCUCUCUCCUUUCUCAUCUGCCAAGCUCCAGACUCUUCUUACUGUCUAGUAAUUCCUGUGGGUUGAUCUGCCAGGCUGUAUAAAUAGAGGUGCGUGUUCUAUUUGUGUCUAUCACUUAUUUUUAUAAAAACUAUUUCAGCUUCCAAUAUUCCAGGAUCCAAAUUCCAUCUGCAAGUCAUGCUGUUUGGAUAUUUUAUUCAGAUGCUACAAUUUUGUUGUUGUAUGCCUUCAGUCUUUCCCGACCAACAAUGUGAUUUCACAGAUGACCACUCGGAGAAACAUGGUUACAGGCGCAAAGAGAAUCCCACUCCCGGGUUCAAGCUGACAACCUGAAGACUUGCCUCCACCACAAGCGUUGCCGUAAUGCUACCCUGCGCCCCAUGU
rnacentral:lncRNA from 11 species